rnacentral:rRNA from 1 species
GUCCAUGGCCAUACCACCUGAAGGCGCCUGAUCUUGUCUGAUCUCGGAGGCUAGGCAGGGUUGGCUCUGCUUAAGUACUUGGAAGGGAGAAAAUUUUUUAGCAUGUGAAGGCACUUUGGAGC